CAGUCGCCGCGGUAAUACGAAGGGGGCUAGCGUUGCUCGGAAUCACUGGGCGUAAAGGGUGCGUAGGCGGGUCUUUAAGUCAGGGGUGAAAUCCUGGAGCCCAACUCCAGGACUGCCUUUGAUACUGAAGAUCUUGAGUUCGGGAGAGGUGAGUGGAACUGCGAGUGUAGAGGUGAAAUUCGUAGAUAUUCGCAAGAACACCAGUGGCGAAGGCGGCCCACUGGCCCGAUACUGACGCUGAGGCACGAAAGCGUGGGGAGCAAACAGGAUUAGAUACCCCUGUAGUCCCUGUCUCUUAUAC
rnacentral:rRNA from 1 species